UAGUCCACGCCGUAAACGAUGGACACUAGUUGUUGGGCAUUAGCUCAGUGACUAAGCGAAAGUGAUAAGUGUCCCACCUGGGGAGUACGAUCGCAAGAUUGAAACUCAAAGGAAUUGACGGGGGCCCGCACAAGCGGUGGAGCAUGUGGCUUAAUUCGAUGAUACGCGAGGAACCUUACCUGGGCUUAAAUGUAGAUUGACAGUCAAAGAGAUUUGAUUUUCUUCGGACAAUUUACAAGGUGCUGCAUGGUUGUCGUCAGCUCGUGCCGUGAGGUGUCGGGUUAAGUCCCAUAACGAGCGCAACCCUUACCGUUAGUUGCCAUCAGGUCAAGCUGGGGACUCUAGCGGAACUGCCUGCGCAAGCAGAGAGGAAGGUGGGGAUGACGUCAAAUCAGCACGGCCCUUAUGUCCAGGGCUACACACGUGCUACAAUGGUCGGUACAGAGGGCAGCUACCUAGCGAUAGGAUGCCAAUCUCGAAAGCCGAUCUCAGUUCGG
rnacentral:rRNA from 1 species